AAUCCUUUUCGCUUUAAGUAUUAGGGGUUGGGGGGAGAAAAGUUUGAAAAAAAAAAAAGAGUUGAAAUUUUUUGACAUUAGAGAUAGAUAGUAGGAAGAACAAACCAUUAUUCUUACAUUUGAAGUAGUAAAGUUCAGAUAAAUCUUAUGGGUUGCUCAUCCGGUUAUUCAAGUUUUCCCGUUAGAGUCUUUGGCUUGUGGUGUUGGAAGAAGCUCAUCGUAGUUCAGCUGCCCAGAAAAAGCAUUUCGAGAGAGUCACAAAGGAUCCAACCCUUUCUUUCGAGUCGGUCGGCCCUUGAAACUGAUGAACAGGUGUCGGGAAAGCCAUACAAGGCUGCAAGUUGACUUCUCAAGUCCCUAAAGCCCCAAAAAAGGGCUAUAUACCUGAUGUAUACACCGGUAUACGAGGAAAACUAAUGAAAUUCAGGUGUAAACGCAGCAGAAUACAAAAAGGAGAGGAGAGAAUGUACAAGAUGUUGAAUAAAUUAGGCUCAUAUACAGAUUAAAAUGACUAUAUACAGUGUGAUACUUUUUGUGUAUACAUCUGGCUCAACAAAGAAGAAAAGGCCUGACUUGGCCCAAAUUUGCAUCAGAUUUGGAAUUCGGGCAAAAACUUAAAUUUGAAUCUACUCUUCCUUUACUCUUACUUAUUUAUUUAUUAUGUUAACUAAUCAUUUUAUUUGAUUUUGGUCUUUAU